rnacentral:rRNA from 1 species
GACUGAGUGGCGGACGGGUGAGUAACGCGUGGGUAACCUGCCUUAUACUGGGGGAUAACAGUCAGAAAUGGCUGCUAAUACCGCAUAAGCGCACGGGGCCGCAUGGCCCAGUGUGAAAAACUCCGGUGGUAUAAGAUGGACCCGCGUUGGAUUAGCUGGUUGGUGAGGUAACGGCCCACCAAGGCGACGAUCCAUAGCCGGCCUGAGAGGGUGAACGGCCACAUUGGGACUGAGACACGGCCCAGACUCC